UUGUUUCGUCGCCGCCGCCGCAAGUGGCGUCGGCUCUGUUUGUGACCGGGGGGGAAGGGGCUGAUUAGAUUUGUCCCGGGGUUUCGCUGGAUCGAUCAUUGUUUUGAGAUUUUUUUUUUGCUUUUUUUUGGGGGAUUUUGGCUGCUGGUUUUGAUCCUUUCUAUUGGUGCGUGAUGCGGGAUGAGUGUUGUUGCGGUUAUUCUUCAACGGAUUGGUGAAUUCGUAGUGGUAUAUUUGGAUGCUUCCCUUUCACGCAAGCGCGUUUGUGGGGCAAGCCUUUUUUUUUUUGCUUCAGCACGGCGACGGCUAGCUUUGAGCCUUGAGUAGUUUUGCUAUUAUGCCACCGCCGCCACGCUUUUGCUGAUAAUUGGUAGCGCUAGCCGCCAGGUGAAUCGCGGCUGAUUGAUUUCAUGCUUUGUUCCUCUGAUUACGAUCUUGCUCUGUUGCAUGCUGUCUUGAUUAAACCGAAUUCUAGUGUAAAAAGGAAUCACUUUUGCUUGGAAGAUUAAUCUACUAGAGUUAGUGUUUGAGUUUAUCUCCUACUCUGGUUGUGCCAUUGUCAUUAACAAUUGAUAGAUUUGUCUGUUGCUUUGCUUUGAUUCCUCUAGAACACUUUAAAAUACUUUAUUUAAAGUGUUCCUUUAUUGAUACUGUAUUGAAUCAUAUAAUUCAGUAGUAUAGUAGAUUAUUCUCUUUGGUCUGCAAAGAGACAACGCAUUAUGCUAGUAUUUAGGUAUUCCCGUGUUAUGAUCUGUCGUACCAUCAGCUCAUUUAUUGCCGGUUGGUACGCAUCACUUGAGCGUUUUCGUCUGUUCUUGUUAUUCUUGGUUUCUUCCGGGUACUGACCGCGGUUUGUACCAGAGGACACCGAAUAUUGGCUGGUGGUCCACGCCAAGGCAAAGAUGUCGGUAGCCAAGAAGGAAGAGGUUUGCAGUCAUCGGCUCGGGCCGCGAUUGGAUGAGCCGGCGGUCGGCGUGCCCAUUAAGAAAAGGCCAGUUUUGUUGUCUGAUAGAUUGCUUCCGUCUGGAAUGCCGCCCUCGAUGAGACCAUCGUCUCCGGCAACGGGGAUGGCCGUUUCAGUUGCAGAGGCAGGAUGCAGCAAGGACACUUUCUUGAACAGAUCUGUAUCAGAAGAAACAAGUGCAAUCACAAAAGGUAAUGGGAUGUUUAAUCCCCAGGAUCAAAGGCAUGCCAAGAGGUCAUUCAUUCAAUCUUUGACCGAGAAAAAAGGGCUGUCACUUGAUGGAUCAAGUGGAAUCCCUUCUCGCAUAGAGAGUGGUACAGGUAAUGUUGCUCCCGUUGAUGAUACUCAGAGUCAGAAGUUUUUGAGUUUGGGUUUGCGUUCAGCAUCUCGUCUGAAUGGUAAGAUCAAUUCUAGUUCCAAUGUCAAGGAAGAGAAAGUUGAUCAGGGUCUUUCUAGCUUUCCAUCAGCAGAUUUUCAGAAGGAUGCUGGAGCAACAAAUGAACCCAAAUCAUCUUCUGACAGUAGCUUUGGGCGACUACCGAAUUUGGAUCUUAAUGUGCCAUUGGACCCUCAUGAUCUUGCUGAAAGUUUGCCUAUAGUGCAAGAUUCCAGUAAUAUACUCUACCAUGAAACUGUUCAGCUUCAGAAAGCACAUGUUCCCCCAGUGCCCCCAGUUUCUACAGUGAGCAAUGGACUGCAUCGAAACAUUGCCAGUACUUUGAACCUUUCCAAUGCAUAUGGACUUUCUAAUAAGCGUGGGGCAGCUGAUGUUACCUUAGACUUGCAACUUAAACCACCAGCUAGACCUGAGCUAGGCAUAAACUGGAAAGGACUUGCUCCUGUUCCAGGACUAAGUCUCUCUCUGUCUAGUAAGCAUGUUGAAGAGUCUGAGAACAAUGCUGGAUUAAAUCUCUCUCUAUUUGGUAAGCACAUUAAUGAGUCUGAGAACAAUGCUCCUAAUGUUGCAGUUAGAUCUGAACCUACUGUAAGUGCCAAAAAGAUCACCAGGGAAGUUGGUAUACCAAGGACAGAUAAAUCACCAGUUGAGGAGGUUGUCAAAUUGGUGCCCUUGAAUGAAAACCCUCAUAAAACUAUAUCAUCAAGUGUGGCUAGAAUUUAGAGCAUGGCAUCUGGUUGUUUGGUGAAGAAAGAGCCUGAAGAACAGUCUCAACGACAUGUUCAGAAUGAUGUAGAAAAAGAACAACCAUUAGAAUCACAAAGUGUUGGACUAGCUAACAAUCGCGCUGAAAUUGAAAAGCCUAACGGUGCCCACCAAGUUCCUGGAAAAGCUGCCCUUGAUUUGAAUUCUGGAAUCUUUCCAAAUGUAGCAACUGCUAACGUUCCACUAUCAACUGAAAGAUUGCGUGAUGCCAUCCGCACUGAGGCCAUGCAUGCUGACCAUGAAGUUAAGAAAUCUAUCAAGUGUGAGGAAACAACUGCUGCAAUCCCAAGUCCUGCAACUGCAUCAGUAAGUAGUCGCUGCUCACCACUGAUGGCCACAAAGCAAUUGCCUUUGGGAGACCGUGAUGCUAGCCGCGCUGGAUUACGUGUAUCAGCCAGCCAGCCCUCAUUGCCUACUGAACCUGCAUGCUGUAAUCCUGAUGAGGCUAAUGUUGAUUGCAAACCAACAAUGAGUCAUGUGAAUUCUCGCAAUGCUGUUGAAGUUUGUGGUUCAUUGCAAAGUUCCUCGAAUCCUAUACCUGAACCAUCGAUUUCCAAUUCUCGGAAUCGUUUUGGGUUUGAUGGUAUGUCACAAGGGAGUGCUGAAAUGGACUGUUCAGAAGAUGAUGACAAUAUUGUAUCACAUCUAUCUACUACCAAUAAACCUCAUGGAGGGACACUAGGGAACAAUCAAACCUCUGACAGUAUGGGUUCGGGUAGAAAUCUACAGAAGGAACAUGACAGUAAUACACAUCAGAAUUGCUCAUUUGUGACAAAUAAGAUCGACAUGCAAGGUAUUAGUGAUGACAAGCGUAUUAAUGUUAAAGAUGGUGUUUUCCCUCAUUCAUGUCAGAACAGUCAUCAAAGUGGCAAUGUUGUCAAUGAAGAGUCCAAAAAUAAACAACUAUUGGGAUCAGAUAAGAAUACUCCAAUGAAUAACAACGACAGUACCAUACGUGUUAAGACCAUCACAGGCUCAAGUACAGCAGAUACCCGAAGGUUAUCAUCUUUGGAAACAUCCACUUCCCCUAAAAUUGAAUCCAUUAUGGAACCUUAUAAGGAAUCAGGCAGCUGCCUUGAGAAGAGUACAACUCCUAAAAUAAAGUCAAAAGGGUGUCAAUCUCCACUUGGUAAGCAAGCUGCUAAUUGUAGCGAGGACCAUGCGGAAAAUGCUGCUGUGAAGAUUGAGCAUUAGACAGUAAGUGAAGAGGUUGCCAAAGUCUUAGAAUUGCACCCAAGGGAUUCUGUCCUAGGUGAAGAUUCUCAUCCUGAUGGCGCUUCAAGCAGUCAACUGCACGAUGAGUGUGGAAUGGUAAAGUCGGCAUCUGAGAGGUCAGAAUGUGAUAAAUCCAAACCUGACUCUUGUAGGACAACUUCUGUACAGAAUGAAAGAGAUGGUCAGGUUGACGACCCACAUUGGAGAGGGAUGGGGCAUCCUUAUGUCAAUGUCAAUAGGAAUGAAACAUGGGAGAGGCUUAUGCAGUCUAAGAGAGAGAAGAACAAAGGAGAGUACCAUGGUGGCAGGCAUGCGCCUGAUACAUUCAAUCAACGAAGGCCAGAUUACCGUUAUGGUGGACGUGGUGUUGGAUCCCGUGGUAAUCCAAGGAACUUCCGGGGUCCAAGAAUGAAUGAAUCUGAACUUUACUUUGACGAUGAACCUAUGGCCCGCAGAAGGCGCCCCUUUGAAGAUUACCUAGGGCACAUGCAGCGAAUUCCACAUAGGCGACACCGCUCCUCGCCAAUGAACAAUCAGUUGCAGGGCGGUUUGAUGAGAGAUAUGGACAUUGAUGGUUUCUCUGGAAGAGAUGUUCCAGACCCUAGGCUGCUGGCACAUGAGCAUAUGGAAGAUCUAUCUGAUGACAUGAUGGAGGAGAGGUUUUAUGUACCACAUUCCCGUCGGCAUCAUAUACAAGGUGACCAUGCAUUCAUUCACAGAAACAAGAGCCAUUCACCUGGGUAGAGAAGGGGUGCACCUAUGCAUUUACAUAGAGGAUGGUCUCCUGAAACAAUGGGCAGAUCACCACCAUUAAUCAGAACUGACAGACCAUACUUACCUCAUCGACACCACACCCGCCGCCAUGGUUCGCCCUUUGACCGAAUUGAGCAUGAUGACAGAGGUAUGCAAAGAAACAUGAGAAGGUGUGGCAUGCAUCAUGGAGGUGUAGAAGGAGACUCCUUCGAGCCACAUCUACAUCCUGCUCAAUUAGCCGAACUACAUGCAAAAGCUGAACUUACCGAGAGAAGGAAGUUUGGCGAGAGGAGAGGCCAUCAUCUCCGACCCUUUGAAGGCAGCCCCGAUGACGACGAGGUCAUACUUUCCUACGGCGCGGAUGGUGACAUGGACUUCGCCGAAGGUGGCAGCGGUGGUCUGCCGCCAGGAGAGCUCGACGGCCGCUUCAGGAGGCACAUGGGGAGGGAUGAGGAAGAAGAAGACCACAUGUGUCAUGGACCUCAUGGGUGGCGCGAUGGCAGCUCUAAUGGCAGCAGGGCAAAGAGGAGGAGGUACUGACCUAGUCGCACAACUGUGACAGCUGCGAGCCUAUCUAAACUAAUGCAUAGUGGCGUUUUUUGGUUGGCUGGUUCAUGCAUCACCGACUCACCGAUUCUCUUAACCAAACCUUGCUAUAGGUUUGCAAGCAUGUCUCCUUCAAUAUUUAUGGCUUGUUUCUUUCAUUCUUUCCUCAUGGAAGUACGCUACCCUGCAGCUUAACACCCACAAGGCUGUCUGAAGUACUACUAUAUUUACACUAUAUAUCUCAAUAAGGUGAUAUUAGCAUGUGGACAUGGUCACAUGGAGGUGAAACUGACAUUUCAGGACAAAUCAAAGUAAACGUGGACUUGUCUUUGCCCCUCUAGCUUGCCUUUUUUGCUUGGUAAAUCAAAUUAAUUUGAGGAAGGAGAAGAAUAUCCGGGUCACAAAGCUGCUUUGCAUGCCAUUGGCUGGUAGGGUCCUUUUGUAUUGAAGUGAGCUGUCUCCUCAAAGUUUGCUUUGAUCUGAUCUAGAAUGAAGAUGGGAUAGUGGGGUUAUACGGAGUACUCUUACCUAGUAGCUUUGGUGUUUUGGCUAUAUGCUUUCUUGGACUAGAUAUUUGUUUCUUUAUCGGACAGGCAUGGCCAAGGGGCAAUUUAAUUUGCGCCUUGUAAUAAAUUAUUGCUUGGCA